UACGGGGGGGGCGAGCGUUGUUCGGAAUCACUGGGCGUAAAGGGCGCGUAGGCGGCCCGCACAAGUCUGCGGUGAAAACCCCCGGCUUAACCGGGGGCCGGCCGUGGAAACUGUCGGGCUGGAGGCUGGGAGAGGGCAGCGGAAUUCCCGGUGUAGCGGUGAAAUGCGUAGAGAUCGGGAGGAACACCGGCGGCGAAGGCGGCUGCCUGGACCUCUUCUGACGCUGAGGCGCGAAAGCCAGGGGAGCAAACGGG
rnacentral:rRNA from 1 species